UACGAGGGGGGCUAGCGUUGUUCGGAAUUACUGGGCGUAAAGGGCGCGUAGGCGGUCCUGAUCGUCGGAUGUGAAAGGCCUGGGCUCAACCUGGGAAUGGCAUCCGAUACGGCGGGACUGGAGUGUGGGAGAGGUUGGUGGAAUUCCCAGUGUAGAGGUGAAAUUCGUAGAUAUUGGGAAGAACACCGGUGGCGAAGGCGGCCAACUGGACCACAACUGACGCUGAGGCGCGAAAGCGUGGGGAGCAAACAGG
rnacentral:rRNA from 1 species